GCCUACGGCGGCAUACCCACCCUGCGAGACGCCCGAUCUCGUCUGAUCUCGGAAGCUAAGCAGGGUCGGGCCCGGUUAGUACUUGGAUGGGAGACCGCCUGGGAAUACCGGGUGCUGUAGGCU
rnacentral:rRNA from 1 species